rnacentral:lncRNA from 1 species
CUGUUGUUCUCGAAUCAACCGCUGAGCAGUAAGAGAGGGUGAGGGAGGACGAGGUAUAUGCCUUUGGUGAAGACCCAUACUUCUAUCUAAAUCAUCCUGUAUGAGCUCAUGAGGUGGAUAACGGAAGUCAUAUCCACUCCCUUCAGGAAUCCCACCAAACAUUGCAGCUUCAAGCAUUACAGCUUCGUCAUGCUCCACAGACGAGAUGCCACCCCACUUUAAGGAUAUAAAAUAUUAGUGCUCUUAAAACAAAAAAACGAGGGUGAGGGAGGACGAGGUAUAUGCCUUUGGUGAAGACCCAUACUUCUAUCUAAAUCAUCCUGUAUGAGCUCAUGAGGUGGAUAACGGAAGUCAUAUCCACUCCCUUCAGGAAUCCCACCAAACAUUGCAGCUUCAAGCAUUACAGCUUCGUCAUGCUCCACAGACGAGAUGCCACCC